rnacentral:rRNA from 1 species
GACGAACGCUGGCGGCAUGCCUUACACAUGCAAGUCGAACGGCAGCACGGGUGCUUGCACCUGGUGGCGAGUGGCGAACGGGUGAGUAAUACAUCGGAACGUACCUUAUCGUGGGGGAUAACGCAGCGAAAGCUGUGCUAAUACCGCAUACGCCCUGAGGGGGAAAGCGGGGGAUCGAAAGACCUCGCGCGAUUAGAGCGGCCGAUGCCUGAUUAGCUUGUUGGUGGGGUAAAAGCCCACCAAGGCGACGAUCAGUAGCUGGUCUGAGAGGACGAUCAGACACACUGGGACUGAGGCACGGCCCAGGAUCCUACGGGAGGCAGGAGUGGGGAAUUUUGGACAAUGGGGGCAACCCUGAUCCAGCAAUGCCGCGUGAGUGAAGAAGGCCUUCGGGUUGUAAAGCUCUUUUGUCAGGGAAGAAACACCGGCUCUAACACAGUCCGGGAAUGACGGUACCUGAAGAAUAAGCACCGGCUAACUACGUGCCAGCCGCCGCAGUAA